AGUGAACGCUGGCGGUAUGCCUAACACAUGCAAGUCGAACGGCCGCACGGUAAGAGCUUGCUCUUACGGGUGGCGAGUGGCGGACGGGUGAGAAAUACAUCUGAAUCUACUUUUUCGUGGGGGAUACCGUAGGGAAACUUACGCUAAUCCCGCAUACGACCUACUGGUGAAAGCAGGAGAUCUUCGGACCUUUCGCGAUUCAAUGAUCCGAUGUCGGAUUAGCUAGUUGGCGGGGUAAAGGCCCACCAAGGCGACGAUCCGUAGCUGGUCUGAGAGGAUGAUCAGCCACACUGGAACUGAGACACGGUCCAGACUCCUACGGGAGGCAGCAGUGGGGAAUAUUGGACAAUGGGCGCAAGCCUGAUCCAGCCAUACCGCGUGGGUGAAGAAGGCCUUCGGGUUGUAAAGCCCUUUUGUUGGGAAAGAAAAGCAGCAGGUUAAUACCCCGCUGUUCUGACGGUACCCAAAGAAUAAGCACCGGCUAACUUCGUG
rnacentral:rRNA from 1 species